rnacentral:rRNA from 1 species
AGUGAACGCUGGCGGUAGGCCUAACACAUGCAAGUCGAACGGCAGCACAGUAAGCGCUUGCUCUUACAGGUGGCGAGUGGCGGACGGGUGAGGAAUACAUCGGAAUCUACUUUUUCGUGGGGGAUAACGUAGGGAAACUUACGCUAAUACCGCAUACGACCUACGGGUGAAAGCAGGGGAUCUUCGGACCUUGCGCGAUUGAAUGAGCCGCUGUCGGAUUAGCUAGUUGGCGGGGGAAAGGCCCACCAAGGCGACGAUCCGUAGGUUGUCUGAGAGGAUGGUCAGCAGCACUGGAACUGAAACACCCACAUGACUCCUACGGGAAGCAGAAGUGGGGAAUAUUGGACAAUGAGCGAAAGACUGAUCCAGCCUUACCGCGUGAGUGAAGAAAGCCUUCGGGUAGUAAAACCCUUUUGUUGGGAAAGAAAACCGGCUGGUUAAUACUGCGAUGUGCUUACGGUACCCAAAAAAUAAGCACCGGCGAAAUCCAUG